rnacentral:lncRNA from 1 species
AAGAAGCUGGCCGGAUUCCGGCGAGAAGGGGAGGCUGAAUGGUGAAGGUGGGCCCCACAUUUAAUUAAAAUAAUAAAAAAAACGGUUGACUAACGGAAAAAUUAACGCCGUUUGGUCAGAGGGGCCUAAUUGCACGGUUUUUUUUAGUUCGGGGGUUUAGUUGCACACAUAGUGAGUAAGGUGGUCUAUACGCUAUAAGGGCUACCACUAGAAGGCUCUAUCUGCACAUUUUCCUUUUUUUUCUCAUUAGCCUAUAAAUACUAGAACUUUUUCUAUUUUUGAUUUUGCACCCUAACUUUAAAAUAUACCUAUAAAUACCUAAAUUUUGCAUUUUUUUUCUUCUUCUAAUUUUUCACCCAACAAAUAUUUACUCCCAAAUCGUUGCUAACAUGAUAGUCGGAUUGAGAGGGAACUUUGAAGUGCAUAAUGAAGCCGAUAAUUUUGUUGUUAAUGUGAGAUCUAGAAUAUAUAAUUGUAGGAUUUGGGAUGUCAAUUCGAUUGUCAUGUUAGCAACGUUUUGGGGGUAAAAAUUUGGUGGGUGUAAAAUAAAAGAGAAUACAAAGUUCAGGUAUUUAUUGACAGAUUUUAAAGUUAAAGUGCAAAACCAGAAAAUGAAAAAAGUUCGAGUAUUUACGAGCGAAUACUUCUUUUUAUUUUAGGUUUUUGGAAAUCAUUGCUAAAAUCUUGUUUCGACCUCAAUAAUCGUACGACUGAAAUUACAUAGCAAAAAUGUGGAUCAGGAUUCAGUAUCUCCAAUGGCAUUGAUUUAUUUGUUUGGUACUUCAUUUGUUUUUGAGGUUUCAUGCAAACCAGAGUGGUCGUGUCUAAAAGCACUCCGUUGUUGAAAAUUGGAUGGUGUUGGAUUAUUUGUAACAUUCAACAAGGCCAAUUAAAAUUAUCAAGAAAUGCUUUUUCAUUAUAUCUCUUUAUCCACAUUGGCUUGUAGUGUUAAAGUCAUCAACAGGC